rnacentral:lncRNA from 1 species
GAGUCCCAUAAAAACCUGCUCUGCUCUUGUUUUCUCUACAUGUGAGGGAUGAGCUGGAGCUCAUAAAGAGCCAACUGAGGGCACGCUGAGGUCCUGGGCUCUGUAAAAAGGCUGUGGCUGCAGUGGAACAUAGAGCCCAGACGCCGCCAUGAUACCAAAAAUUAUUGCUGUGUCUCACAGCCGAUUGCCCCGAGUCCAACGAAGAACCACGAGACCCUCGGAACCAGAUUGUUACUGUGGGGGUGGAGGGGGCACAGCAGUUCACCGCUGGACCACCCACAUUCGGAAACGCCUAGCUGUUCCUGAGGCCGAGCUUGGAGAGCGUGGCCGAGAGAGAUUGGCCACUGAUCCCACAGUGGUGCCCAGCAUGCCUCCGAACGGCCCCCCCACAAACAGGCCGACCAGGGAGCCGAGCAAGGCCUCUCUUCUCACCAGUGUGGGCAGCCAGUAUAUCCAGCUCAUCAGCUUCUCCCACAGGCUCCGGAGAAACGACGGCGCAGAGGCGACACUGGUCCGGGGGAAAAUAUCAUCAAUAUCUACGUUCAGGUCACCUACGCUCCUCUCCGCCUCCUCCCGCUCCGCUUCCAUCUCUUCUUCUGUCAUGUUUUCCUCUGACGGGGAGUCAUCCAACCCCUCUCCUCUUCUCUGCCUCACCAGCUCCACCUGCCUCUUCCUCACCCUCUCCUCAGCCUCCUGGUACAGGGGGCAGCUCAGGUGUUGA